UCGGGGUUCUUUGCUUUCAGAUAACACUUUACUUCUGUAGAUAAUGGCGCUCGUUGUGUUUUAAAUGGGUUGAAAUUGGUAUGGCGACUUUGACUUCCUGUUUUAACAUUAGAAAGAUUAGCUUAGGGCUGUUCCACAUAGGCCUAGUUUAAGGAUACUUUUAUGACCAUUAGAUUGCCUUUGUGAUUGUUUUCACAGGCAUGUUUGUAAUCGCUUCAAUCUUCACGAUGAUAUCUAGGAGGUAUUCGAAGGAUACUCGACAUAUUCGACGGAUACUCAACUAGAUUUGGACUUGUUUCUGUCGCACUCUUUGAAACAAUUGCAGUUGCCUGGGUCUUCAAACUAGAAAACUUCGAAAAUGACAUAGAGAGAAUGAUUCAUUCAAAACCUGGAUUGUAUUGGGAAAUAAUAUGAAAAUAUAUCUGCCCAAUUAUUAUGGGAGUUACUCGUUAUUCUGAUUGUGAGCUUCGUGAACAAAGACAAUGUCUCGAAAGACGAGUUAACCUAUAUGCCAUGGGCCGCGUUUUUUAUCGUAUUAUUGAUACUAAACUUGAUGUUCUGUAUUCCAUUAUUUGCGUUUCGGAAUUUUCGAACCGAAAUGGAUCGGUGCUAUUUCUUACGGGAGAAAUUAAAGAGCUGAUCAGAAUGAUAAUGAUGAAAUCGGAGUUAUGAAAUCUGCGACUCCGUUGAAUUUAAAUUUUUGUAUUGGCGUCUUGGGACACAUAACAUAUUUUCGAAUGUAGAUGACAGUUCACAAGAAUAUCCCACCUAGUGGAUAAUAAAUAUCGAAAAUCAAAAUUUGUCUGUAGAAUUUAAAUUUGACGGAGUCGCAAAUUCCGUAACUCCGAUUUCAUAAUUUUUAUUCUGUUCAGCUCUUUUAAAUCUUCCCUAAGAAUUCGGGUCGAAAAUUCCGAUUUGAAUAUUCUAAAAUACCCAAAACAUUGACAAAACCUCGUCUAACUUGUCGACACACUCUGGUAUUCAAGAACCGAAUUUUUUGUUUGAGUACGGCAGUAUUUUUGGUCGACUACUGACUUGUUCAAUAAUCAACUCGUUUGACUACCGAGGUAUCACUGUACUUGCUUCAAUAUUGUUUUCUAUGAAAGCUCUAGUAUGAUAAGCAAAUCUGUUAUUUAAAAACCAAAGUAUUCCACAAAAUUGAUUUUUAAUUGAGCGGCAGUUUGUGCGUUUACAAUCUAUGAUAAAACGCUGUCGAAACCACACCGCUUUCAACAGAUUCAACACUUCGGAUUUAUAUAUUGUUUCCGUACAUUGAAAUUUAUUUUUUCAUCUUUUAUUGUAUAAUUUAUUUCGUAUACAUGUUGUUUUGCCCUGUUUGAAUUUGGUAUUCAUUCUUCUGUGCCUGCUUUCUAUCGCUUUUUCUUAUUUCAUGUAUUGUUUGUCUUAAUUAGAAUAAUUUUUUCUGUGAUUGGAAUAAUAUUUUCAUGCUAGAUUUUACUGCUCCAGAAGUCGUUAAUAUUUGAAUCUGUUUCGAAUCAUACAAAGCUUGAAAAUCUAGAAUUUAUUGUAAUCAGAAAAUUGUACCUUUGCUUCAAGUGAAUGUAGGCGCGACUUCGACUAAAAGAUUUCGAUUUUUUUAGGGAUAUCAGAUUGCAAAAUUAUGUAGAGCUGAUCUAUGAUUAUCCGGGUACUUUUUACUUUGGACUCCCUGAGUGAAAGCUUUUGAUUUUAAUAACAAAAAAUACAAAUUUAAGUCUAUAAUUCAAAAUCCACUCUAUGAGAGUUCAUUAAAACAAUCUAAGUCCUACUAUUUCAGUCGAGAUCAAAAUUUAUGAGUCUUUUAUUAUCAAGUUUUAAAUUCACCCUUUUAAUGAAAAUUCUCACCCAAACAAGUAUCAAUAUAAAGUUUUUUGUAAAACCCUAUAAACAGCGUCCUCCAAUAUACAGAAUUUCUUAUUCCAACCAGGGUUACUUGUUUUAUUAUCAAUUUCUAUUGAAGCUCUCUUUUCUGUUUCACAUUGAAAUGUAUAGUCUGUUUUUUAUCACAAUCCCUAAACCUCAAUCUAAAGAAGUGGUUUCAAAUUUUCCAAGCCCCGUUUUUAGAAUUUGUCAAGUCUCUU